rnacentral:lncRNA from 1 species
NNNNNNNNNNNNNNNNNNNNNNNNNNNNNNNNNNNNNNNNNNNCCGUGGGCAGGCUGGCGUGGGGAUGCGUGUGCACGCGCUUCCCACGCCCCAGCCCUCCCGUGACGUCCCGGCUUCCUCCCUCCGCCGGCCCUUGCGUCACCGCGGGAGGAUGUUGCUGGGCUCGGGGAACGGGGACGAGAAGCCAGACACACGGGGCUCCCGGCCUGGCCAGAGCAGCCUCCCGCCCUCUCCUCCUUCAGCCUCAUCAUCAUCAUUAUCCCCCUCCCCUCCACUCCCCUUCCCUCCCCAAGGAUGCCCAUCCCGGGUUGCGUCCAGCCUCCUCCCCGCUGGAUGGGGAUAGGGAUGGGGAUGAGGAGCCCAGGAGCCGGAGGCUGCCUUGGAACGAGGCUCCCUUCUUCUCCUUCAUCUUCAUCUUCAUUUUCAUCUUCAUCAUCCCCCCCUCUUCCCUCCCUAGGGAUGCCCACCCCGGGUUGCAUCCAGCCUCCUCCCUGCUGGAUGGGGAUGUGGAGCCCAGGAGCUGGAGGCUGCCUCGGAACCAGCUCCCUUCCCCUCCUUCAUCAUCAUCAUCAUCUUAAUCAUCUUCAUCAUCCCCCCCCUUCCCUCCCCAGGGAUGCCCACCCCGGGUUGCAUCCAGCCUCCUCCCCACUGGAUGGGGAUGUGGAGCCCAGGAGCUGGAGGCUGCCUUGGAAUCAGGCUCCCUUCCUCUCCUUCAUCUUCAUCAUCUUCUUCAUCUUCAUCAUCCCACCCCUUCCCUCCCCAGGGAUAUCCAGCCUCCUCCCCACUGGAUGGGGAUGUGGAGCCCGGGAGCUGGAGGCUGCCUCGGAACCGGGCUCCUUUCUUCUCCUCCAUCUUCAUCAUCUUCUUCAUCUUCAUCAUCCCCCCUCUUCCCUCCCCAGGGAUGCCCACCCUGGCUUGCAUCCCGCCUCCUCCCCAUGGGAUGGGGAUGUGGAGCCCAGGAGCUGGAGGCUGCCUCGGAACCGGGCUCCUUUCCCCUCCUUCAUCUUCAUCAUCUUCAUCAUCCCCCCCCUUCCCUCCCCAGGGAUGCCCACCCCGCGUUGCAUCCAGCCUCCUCCCCACUGGAUGGGGAUACGGAGCCCGGGAGCCGGAGGCUGCCUCGUCCCCAGGGAUGCCCACCCCAGGUUGCAUCCAGCCUCCUCCCCGCUGGAUGGGGAUGCAGAGCCUGGGAGCUGGAGGCUGCCUUGGAACCAUGCUCCCUUCCUAUCCUUCAUCUUCAUCAUCUCCAUCUUCUUCAUCAUCUUCAUCAUCUCCCCCUUCCCUCCCCAGGGAUGCCCACCCCGCGUUGCAUCCAGCCUCCUCCCCACUGGAUGGGGAUACGGAGCCCGGGAGCCGGAGGCUGCCUCGGAAGUAGGCUCCCUUCCUCUCCUUCAUUUUCAUCUUCAUCUUCAUUUUCAUCUUCAUCAUCUCCCCCCUUCCCUUCCCAGGGAUGCCCACCCCGGGUUGCAUCCAGCCUCCUCCCCACUGGAUGGGGAUGCAGAGCCCAGGAGCUGGAGGCUGCCUCGGAACCAGGCUCCCUUCCUCUCCUUCAUCUUCAUCAUCCCCCCCUUCCCUCCAGGGAUGCCCACCCCGGGUUGCAUCCAGCCUCCUCCCCACUGGAUGGGGAUGCAGAGCCCAGGAGCUGGAACCAGGCUCCCUUCUUCUCCUUCAUCUUCAUCAUCUUCAUCAUCCCCCCCUUCCCUCCCCAGGGAUGCCCACCCCAGGUUGCAUCCAGCCUCCUCCCCGCUGGAUGGGGAUGCAGAGCCUGGGAGCUGGAGGCUGCCUUGGAACCAUGCUCCCUUCCUAUCCUUCAUCUUCAUCAUCUCCAUCUUCUUCAUCAUCUUCAUCAUCUCCCCCUUCCCUCCCCAGGGAUGCCCACCCCACGUUGCAUCCAGCCUCCUCCCCACUGGAUGGGGAUACGGAGCCCGGGAGCCGGAGGCUGCCUCGGAAGUAGGCUCCCUUCCUCUCCUUCAUUUUCAUCUUCAUCUUCAUUUUCAUCUUCAUCAUCUCCCCCCUUCCCUUCCCAGGGAUGCCCACCCCGGGUUGCAUCCAGCCUCCUCCCCACUGGAUGGGGAUGCAGAGCCCAGGAGCUGGAACCAGGCUCCCUUCUUCUCCUUCAUCUUCAUCAUCUUCAUCUUCAUCAUCCCGCCCCUUCCCUCCCCAGGGAUGCCCACCCCGGGUUGUGAUCUUCAUCUUCAUUUUCAUCUUCAUCAUCUCCCCCCUUCCCUUCCCAGGGAUGCCCACCCCGGGUUGCAUCCAGCCUCCUCCCCACAGGAUGGGGAUGUGGAGCCCAGGAGCCGGAGGCUGCCUCGGAACCAGGCUCCCUUCCUCUCCUUCAUUUUCAUCUUCAUCAUCCCCCCCCCGUCCCUCCAGGGAUGCCCACCCCGGGUUGUGUCCAGCCUCCUCCCCACAGGAUGGGGAUGUGGAGCCCAGGAGCCGGAGGCUGCCUCGGAACCAGGCUCCCUUCCUCUCCUUCAUUUUCAUCUUCAUCAUCCCCCCCCCGUCCCUCCAGGGAUGCCCACCCCGGGUUGUGUCCAGCCUCCUCCCCACAGGAUGGGGAUGUGGAGCCCAGGAGCCGGAGGCUGCCUCGGAACCAGGCUCCCUUCCUCUCCUUCAUUUUCAUCUUCAUCAUCCCCCCCCCGUCCCUCCAGGGAUGCCCACCCCGGGUUGUGUCCAGCCUCCUCCCCACAGGAUGGGGAUGUGGAGCCCAGGAGCCGGAGGCUGCCUCGGAACCAGGCUCCCUUCCUCUCCUUCAUUUUCAUCUUCAUCAUCCCCCCCCCGUCCCUCCAGGGAUGCCCACCCCGGGUUGUGUCCAGCCUCCUCCCCACAGGAUGGGGAUGUGGAGCCCAGGAGCCGGAGGCUGCCUCGGAACUGGGCUCCCUUCUUCUACUUCAUCUUCAUCAUCUUCAUCUUCAUCAUCCCUCCCCAGAGAUGCCCACACUGGGUUGCAUCCAGCCUCCUCCCCACUGGAUGGGGAUGAGAUACGGAGCUCGGGACCUGGAGACUGCCUUGGAACCAGGCUCCCUUCCUCUCCUUCAUCUUCAUCUUCAUCAUCUUCAUCUUCAUCAUCCCUCCCCAGAGAUGCCCACCCUGGGUUGCAUCCAGCCUCCUCCCCACUGGAUGGGGAUGGGAUGGGGAUGUGGAGCCCAGGAGCCGGAGGCUGCCUCGGAACUGGGCUCCCUUCUUCUCCUUCAUCUUCAUCAUCUUCAUCUUCAUCAUCCCUCCCCAGAGAUGCCCACCCUGGGUUGCAUCCAGCCUCCUCCCCACUGGAUGGGGAUGGGGAUGCGGAGCCUUGGAGCCAGAGACUGCCUCGGAACCAUCCUCCUUUCCCCUCCUUCAUCUUCAUCAUCUUCAUCAUCUUCAUCAUCCCACCCCUUCCCUCCCCAGGGAUAUCCAGCCUCCUCCCCACUGGAUGGGGAUGUGGAGCCCGGGAGCUGGAGGCUGCUUCGGAACCAGGCUCCUUCCUCUCCAUCAUCUUCUUCAUCUUCAUCAUCCCACCCCUUCCCUCCCCAGGGAUGCCCACCCCGGGUUGCAUCCAGCCUCCUCCCCACUGGAUGGGGAUGUGGAGCCCGGGAGCUGGAGGCUGCUUCGGAACCAGGCUCCUUCCUCUCCCUCAUCUUCUUCAUCUUCAUCAUCUCCCCCUUCCCUCCCCAGGGAUGCCCACCCCGGGUUGCAUCCAGCCUCCUCCCCACUGGAUGGGGAUGUGGAGCCCGGGAGCUGGAGGCUGCUUCGGAACCAGGCUCCUUCCUCUCCCUCAUCUUCUUCAUCUUCAUCAUCUCCCCCUUCCCUCCCCAGGGAUGCCCACCCCGGGUUGCAUCCAGCCUCCUCCCCACUGGAUGGGGAUGUGGAGCCCGGGAGCUGGAGGCUGCUUCGGAACCAGGCUCCUUCCUCUCCCUCAUCUUCUUCAUCUUCAUCAUCUCCCCCUUCCCUCCCCAGGGAUGCCCACCCCGGGUUGCAUCCAGCCUCCUCCCCGCUGGGUGGGGAUACGGAACCCGGGAGCUGGAGGCUGCCUUGGAAUCAGGCUCCCUUCCUCUCCUUCAUCUUCAUCAUCAUCUUAAUCAUCUUCAUCAUCCCACCCCUUCCCCCCCAGGGAUGCCGUGCUGGCCUCGGGGUCUACGAGGCGAAAGGGAUGGGAGAGUCGAGUUUUCUAUUUCUUUGCUUGUUUUAAUAUAUAUUUUUUUUAAAUAUCCUUAUUUAUUUUAAAUUUCUGGAGGGGGGGUGGGGAGGGGGUGGGUAUGGAGACCUCGGGGAGCGGAGGAGCCCGUGCCGGGGAAAAGGCGUCGCUCCCAGGCUCUCUCCUCCACCACACCUCCCUCUUAUCAGCGCCGCUCCCUGCUCCCUCCGGGGCCAUAAAAACCUCACGGAGAGCAUCCGGGAGCAUCCCUGCCCUCUGUCCCCGCAGGUGCCUGGGGUUUGUGGCACAAAAAGGGCUUGAAAACUUCCAGCAAGAGGAGGGGGAGAUGUUUAGGAGCCCCCCAACUUGUCAGGGAAGGCUUGGUUUGCAGGGAGAGCCUGGUGUCCCCCCAAGGGGAGGGAUCCCAGAUCGGUUUGUGCGGGGAAUAUCGGCUGGAGAAGGUGGAGAGAUGUUUGGGGUUUGGAUUGUCAGAGGAGUUGGGGGGAGGGCUGCCCUCGGGGGGCUCCGAAGUACCAAAAUAGUGGAAAA